UGACAGGUUUAGAAAUAGACUCUCCUUCGGGCAAUUUUCAAGGUGCUGCAUGGUUGUCGUCNGCUCNUGCCGUGAGGUGUUAGGUUAAGUCCUGCAACGAGCGCAACCCCUGUCACUAGUUGCUAACAUUCAGUUGAGGACUCUAGUGAGACUGCCUACGCAAGUAGAGAGGAAGGUGGGGAUGACGUCAAAUCAUCACGGCCCUUACGUCUUGGGCCACACACGUAAUACAAUGGCCGGUACAGAGGGCAGCUACACAGCGAUGUGAUGCAAAUCUCGAAAGCCGGUCUCAGUUCGGAUUGGAGUCUGCAACUCGACUCUAUGAAGCUGGAAUCGCUAGUAAUCGCGCAUCAGCCAUGGCACGGUGAAUACGUUCCCGGGA
rnacentral:rRNA from 1 species